rnacentral:lncRNA from 1 species
ACAAGUUUUAAGUAAUUCUAAAAAUGAAAGUUUUAAAAUCUUUUACAGCAAUAUAAAGAAUAGGUGCAGUAUGGGUUAGUUAAAAAUAAGAAGGAGAGUUUCACAUAGAAAAUUAAGGAAGAGGGAGAAAAACCACUAAUCAAAUCAAAUGAGAUUAUUCAUUUUAUGUAUUUCUUCCCAAAUAUUUUAGAUUAGAAGACCUGCGAGUAAAACUGAAGAAAGAAGGAUAUUCUAAUAUUUCUUAUAUUGUUGUUAAUCAUCAAGGAAUCUCUUCUCGAUUAAAAUACACACAUCUUAAGAAUAAGGUUUCAGAGCAUAUUCCUGUUUAUCAACAAGAAGAAAACCAAACAGAUGUCUGGACUCUUUUAAAUGGAAGCAAAGAUGACUUCCUCAUAUAUGAUAGAUGUGGCCGUCUUGUAUAUCAUCUUGGUUUGCCUUUUUCCUUCCUAACUUUCCCAUAUGUAGAAGAAGCCAUUAAGAUUGCUUACUGUGAAAAGAAAUGUGGAAACUGCUCUCUCACGACUCUCAAAGAUGAAGACUUUUGUAAACGUGUAUCUUUGGCUACUGUGGAUAAAACAGUUGAAACUCCAUCGCCUCAUUACCAUCAUGAGCAUCAUCACAAUCAUGGACAUCAGCACCUUGGCAGCAGUGAG